AAUAGAUGCGUCAUUGACUUUUUUUUCACAUGUUUGACCAUUUGUCUUAUCCAAAAAAUUUACGUAAUUAUAAUUUAUUUUGCUAUGAGUUAUUUUAUCACUCAUAGUACUUUAAGUGUGAUUUAUAUCUUAUACAUUCGUAUAAAAUUUUUAAAUAAGACGAAUGGUCAAACAUGUAAGAAAAAGUCAACUGCGUCAUCUAUU
rfam:Oryza sativa Japonica Group DNA, chromosome 2, cultivar: Nipponbare, complete sequence.